GCUCUUAUAGCUCAGGUGGUUAGAGCACUUGUUUAGUAAGUGGGAGGUCUUGAGUUCAAAUCUCAAUAAGAGCA